rnacentral:rRNA from 1 species
CGGCGUAAAGAGUGGUUAUGGAGAAUAAAAUACUAAAGCCGAAGACCCCUUAGGCCGUCAUACGCACCUAGAGGCUCGAAUUAUAAACACGAAAGUAGCUUUACCCUUUCCCACCAGAACCCACGACAGCUGGGACACAAACUGGGAUUAGAUACCCCACUAUGCCCCGCCGUAAACUUAGAUAUUCCAGUACAACAAAUAUCCGCCAGGGGACUACGAGCGCCAGCUUAAAACCCAAAGGACUUGGCGGUGCUUCAGACCCCCCUAGAGGAGCCUGUUCUAGAACCGAUAACCCCCGUUCAACCUCACUACUUCUUGCCUUUCCCGCCUAUAUACCACCGUCGCCAGCUUACCCUGUGAAGGUACUACAGUAAGCAGAAUGAGUAAUACUCAAAACGUCAGGUCGAGGUGUAGCGUACGAAGUAGGAAGAAAUGGGCUACAUUAUCUGAUCCAGAUUAUUCACGGAAGGUUGUCUGAAACGACAACCCGAAGGUGGAUUUAGCAGUAAAGGAGGAAUAGAGUGCCCCCUUGAAGCCGGCUCUGAAGCGCGCACACACCGCCCGUCACUCUCCCCAACAACC